rnacentral:rRNA from 1 species
UAAGGAAUAUUGGUAAAUGGACGCAAGUCUGAACCAGCCAUGCCGCGUGAAGGAUGUAGGUCCUCUGGAUUGUAAACUUCUUUUAUCUGGGACGAAAACGGGAUUUUUAUCUCAAUUGACGGUACCAGAGGAAUAAGCACCGGCUAACUCCGUGCCAGCAGCCGCGGUAAUACGGAGGGUGCGAGCGUUAUCCGGAUUUACUGGGUUUAAAGGGUGCGUAGGUGGGCUUAUAAGUCAGUGGUGAAAUCUCCGAGCUUAACUUGGAAACUGCCGUUGAUACUAUAGGUCUUGAAUUAUCUGGAGGUAAGCGGAAUAUGUCAUGUAGCGGUGAAAUGCUUAGAUAUGACAUAGAACACCAAUUGCGAAGGCAGCUUACUACAUAUAAAUUGACGCUGAGGCACGAAAGCGUGGGGAUCAA